GACGUAGGUCCCAAGCGUUGUUCGGAUUUACUGGGCGUAAAGGGAGCGUAGGUGGCAUUCUAAGUCUGAUGUGAAAGCUCUGAGCUUAACUCAGAAAUGGCAUUAGAAACUAGUUUGCUAGAGGAUUGGAGGGGAGAUUGGAAUACUUGGUGUAGCAGUGAAAUGCGUAGAUAUCAAGUGGAACACCAGUGGCGAAGGCGAAUCUCUGGACAAUUCCUGACACUGAUGCUCGAAAGCUAGGGGAGCAAACGGG
rnacentral:rRNA from 1 species